GACGAACGCUGGCGGCGUGCCUUACACAUGCAAGUCGAACGGUAACGCGGGGCAACCUGGCGACGAGUGGCGAACGGGUGAGUAAUAUAUCGGAACGUGCCCAGAGGUGGGGGAUAGCCCGGCGAAAGCCGGAUUAAUACCGCAUACGACCUACGGGUGAAAGCGGGGGAUCGCAAGACCUCGCGCCAUUGGAGCGGCCGAUAUCAGAUUAGGUAGUUGGUGGGGUAAAGGCCUACCAAGCCAACGAUCUGUAGCUGGUCUGAGAGGACGACCAGCCACACUGGGACUGAGACACGGCCCAGACUCCUACGGGAGGCUGCCUGAGACGCCAAGGCACACAGGGGAUAGG
rnacentral:rRNA from 1 species